UAUUCAUUUUUGAGAGAGCGCACGUGAACUGCGGAGGGGCAGGGAGGGGGACAGAGGAUGCGAAGCAGGGUCUGUACUGACCGCAGAGAGCCUGAUGCAGGGCUCGAACUCACGAACAGAAAGAUCACGACCUGAGCCGAAAUCCCAGGCUCAACCACCUGGGCCACACGAGUGCCCCUGCAAAUUCAUUUCUUUAACAAAGGCAGGCAGGAGUGCCAGUCCCCGGGGGGGGGGGGGGGGGGGGGGCGCGGGGAGGAGGGGGAGACGUGGCCCUGCUGUGGGUGGGUGACCUGGCUGGGGCGCUGAACUUGGAGACAGGGAGGUUGGGGAUGGGACAGGAAUCCUGCUUUCUUGGAUAAAGGGGAUAAGGAUCACCUCCUCCCUCCCCUGGCUGCAGGCUGGGGGCUCCCGCGCGUCUCCCUCACGUCACCCUGUUUGGGAACCGACCCACUAGAGCAGGGCCCAGAACGCCUACUGUGGUCCGUCCAGCGUCUCCUUCCUCUACCUGAUGGCAGGCCCCCCGGGUGCGGCCAUCCAGAGCCGUCCGGAACCACGGUGCCCAGCGGAGAGAACCCCCGCCAGCUUCCCCUGCAGGGGCAGGUGAUGGGGCGCGCGGACCCCGCAGUCGCUCCUGUGGGCCCCCGCUGGUGCUCCCGGAAGUGCAGUGAAUCACGAGCCCGCGCCCCCCGCCCUCCGGGGGCCUCAUGUUCCUGGCGUUGGCGCCCUCUAGUGGCCAUGCCGGAGCAGCCCCGCACUGCCCGCUGGGAAGCGGGAGGCGCAGACUUGGGAAGCUUGGAGGCGGGAAGCGCACACGCUGGGAAGAUGGUGGCGCAGGAGGACGCGCGGCUCACCUGGUCCCGCUGAUCGCUUAGAUUCCGCCCACAUCGGCCUAAGUAACCCAGAAAACCUCCAGAAGACUAGCAGAACCGACUCUCCCGAGCCAAGCGUAGACGAGAGGCCCACGGAAGAGGAUCCACCCCCUGGGAUCCGCUCGGUCGGUUCGUGGCCAGAUCCCAUCGAAGCAGCACCACAAGCCUGGCAGUGUGCGAGCAGCCCAGACGGGCCACACCACUCCACAGUGAGUCCUGCCCCUGGGAGAGGGGAAGAUAAGGUACACACCAGUGUGACUGCGGCCUGCCCACCAAUAAACCUUUUUCCUCCCCCCGACAGCGCAGGGGAAGUGCCCUGCAGUUUGGAGCUACCGCAUCUCUAGCAAACUCCAGAUCUGAUCCAGUGCGCCCCAGACCGACCCACUAACCGCACAGGGACCCGAUCCUGCCCACAACAGAUAGAACCACUGCACAGAAGGCGAGCGCAGUUCAGCCACAGCAGUAGCAACUGCUACCGUAGCAACGCACACAGGGACGCCCCUGAAGCGCCAUCUUCCCGUUAACAGGGGACACUGCACCGCGGGGCACUACAGGAACUCGUCUUCCUAAGGCCACUGCUUUAAGUGCGGGAGACGCAGCUGACUUUGCUAACAGAGACACAGACGCAGCAGUAGACAAAAUGAGGAGGCGGAGGAAUAGGUCCCAAAUGAAAGAACAGAACAAAACCACAGCGAGAGAGGUAACCAAAACGGAGACGUGUUCUGUAACUGAUCUAGAAUUUAGAGUAACUCUCCUAAAGAUGUUGGCUACAGUCGAGGAAAGCCUGGAGAACAUCCAGAAAGACCUAAAACACCUAAAAAAGGACCGGGAAGAGAUGAUAAACUCACUAAAAGAAACGAACAAGAGACCAUCUGGAAAAAAUAAGAAAGAAGAGACCGGACAAGGGCAGAGCAGCAGCCCGGACAGAGUAAUGGAAAGUCACCAAGCUGAGCCAGUGAGAGUGAAAAAAGUUGUGCAAGAUGAGAACAGACCUAGGGAACUCCGCGAUACCAUCAAGCAUAACAGUCGAGUUACAGGGGUUGCAGCAGGAGAAGAGAGAGAAAAGGAGGCAGAACAUUUAUUUGAGGAGAUAAAAGCUGAAAACUUCCUGAAUCUGGGGAAGGAAACAGAAAUCCAGACCCAGGAGGCGCAGAGAGCCCCCGACAAAACCAACCCGUAGAGUUCCAUACCAGGCCAGCCAGUAAAUAAAAUGGCAAAACCUAAGGAUAAAGAGAGAAUUUUAAAAGCAUCAAGAGGAGAGAAAGCAUUUACAUCCAAGGAAAAUCCCAUAAGGCUAUCUGGGUUUUUCAGCAGAAACUUCAGAAAUUAGAAGGGAGCAGCAUGAUAUAUUCAGGUGCUAAGAGGCAAAAGUCUGCAGCCAAGAACACUAUCCGGCAAGGCUAUCCUUCAGAAUAGGAGAGAGAGAGUUUCCCAAACUAACAAAAGGGAAAGGAAUUCAUGGCAGGGAGGAAAACCAGCCACUUCCCCGUCACACACAACGCCACCGGCCUGUGGGUCCCAAAUCCACAGUCCAGCCACCCUCCUGCCUGAGUCUGCUUGUGGGCACUAAAAGAAACAAACCCAAA